UGGGAAUUCGAAGCAUGUUGUUUAAUUCGAUAACCCACGACAAAUCUUACCACUUCUUGCAUAAUAUGGAUUUAAAUAUACUAAAAUAAAUAGAAAGUAUAAAUUAUAAAUAUACACUCUGUAUAUUAUAGUAUAUAAAAUAUUACAGGUGUUGCAUGGCUGUCUUUAGUUCGUGUUGUGAAAUGUUAGGUUAAUUCCGAUAACGAACGCAACCCUUAUUUUUAAUUAAAAAAAUUUCUAAUAUAUAGAAAUAUAUAAAUUAAAAAAAUUUCUAAUAUAUAGAAAUAUAUAAAUUAAAAAAAAAUCUUUCUAUAAGAAAGAGUAAUUAGGAUGAAGACAAGUCCUCAUGACCCUUAUGAAGUGGGCUACAGACGUGCCACAAAGAUUUCAACAAAGGGAUGCAAAAAUGAAAAUUAGAGCUAAUCCUUAAAUAAAAUCAUAGUUCAGAUAAGAGUCUGAAACUCGANUCUUUGAAA
rnacentral:rRNA from 1 species